rnacentral:lncRNA from 1 species
CGCACUGACAGGGAGAUGUCACGAAUCUCUGAAUCAUUUUCUGAAUGAGUCAUGGCUUGUUCGGUGGCUUGUAUAUGGAUGAUGGGGGCCCUAAGGGGGUUUGGGUGGAUGGGCCUUUGUUUGCGAGAGGUUUGGGCACAAAGUUGGGGUUUGCUCAGCGAUGCAGAAUAUAUACAUGAAACGUGGAGUUUUUCGAUAUCUGUCGGUGUGGCGGAGUUGGUUAAGUCGCUUGUUUUGCUGAUUAUUUUGGGGUCGCGGGUUCGCGUUUCAUUAGCAGAUUUUUUUUGUUUUAAUCAUUUUAGGACGUGUGACUGAUACUUUUUUGUGCAUUGUUGUUGUUUUUAAAAUUUGUUCUGUUUUAUGCAGGCG